rnacentral:rRNA from 1 species
AUUGAACGCUGGCGGCAGGCCUAACACAUGCAAGUCGAACGAGUGGCGGACGGGUGAGUAAUGUCUGGGAAACUGCCUGAUGGAGGGGGAUAACUACGGGAAACGGUAGCUAAUACGGCUUACCAUCGGAUGGGCCCAGAUGGGAGUGGCUAGUAGGUGGGGUAACGGCUCACCUAGGCGACGAUCCCUAGCUGGUCUGAGAGGAUGACCAGCCACACUGGAACGGAGACACGGUCCAGACUCCUACGGGAGGCAGCGGUGGGGAAUAUUGAACAAUGGGCGCAAGCCUGAUGCAGCCAUGCCGAGUGUAUGAAGAAGGCCUUCGGGUUGUAAAGUACUUUCAGCGGGGAGGCGUUACCCUCAGAAGAAGCACCGGCUAACUCCGUGCCAGCAGCCGCGGUAAUAC